GUGAUCAAUGGAUGGUCGAGCGGCAGAUUUCCCAUAAUCUUUUUCGAUUUUAGCUGAGGGUUUAAGAAUUUUUUUCUGGUAUAAAAGAACGCUUAAAAUCUAUUUUGUCUAUCUGCUGCCUUCGAUACGUGAACCAUCAGAUCCUCCUCUACACCCUCUCAGGUCUGGGUGUCUCAGGCUCUGCACACUCUUGAAUUGCAUCCUACCCGAAAGGCCGCUCCAAACGGGUGACGUGGAGAGGAUAUGUGUCUGCACCACAUACUCUCACUACUGGUGUCCAAAGGGCUCGGUUCUAGGCCCUCUCCUUUUCACACUAUACACUAAGUGCCGACACGCAUUUCUGCAAGCCUGGCCGAUAUCUCAGCUUGAAUGUUGGCCCACCACCUCAAGCUCAACCUCGACAAGACGGAGCUGCUCUUCCUCCCGGGGAUGGCCUGCCCGCUCCAAGUCCUCUCCAUCACGGUUGACAACUCCACGGUGUCCCCCUCCAAGAGUGCAAAGAACCUUGGCGGGACCCUGGACA